rnacentral:rRNA from 1 species
UACAGAGGUCUCAAGCGUUGUUCGGAUUCAUUGGGCGUAAAGGGUGCGUAGGUGGCGAGGCAAGUCUGGUGUGAAAUCCCGGGGCUCAACCCCGGAACUGCACUGGAUACUGCCUUGCUUGAGCACUGGAGAGGGAACUGGAAUUUACGGUGUAGCAGUGAAAUGCGUAGAUAUCGAGAGGAACACCUGCGGCGAAGGCGGGUUGCUGGGCUGGCACUGACGCUGAUGCGCGAAAGCCAGGGGAGCGAACGGG